AAGAGGUUAGUUAAAUCAUAACAUUAAUAUGUCAUAUUAAAAUAAUUAUUAUCAAUAAUACAUCUUU
rnacentral:tRNA from 1 species